GAGAGGGUCCGGAGAGGUGGAGAGAGGGAGAGACGAUGGAGGUUGCCACAGCGCCCCUUAUAGGACUGGAGGAGGAUCUGUCCCGCUGUCCUUCGGGCUGGACUACAACGGUAAAGCCCAGGUUUCUUCAGCAAAGAUAGAGCCGGUUAGUGAUAAGCGCAGGAUCUGUCUCGCCUACAGCUUAGUAAAAGAAAGGGGAGACAUAAACGGAAGAGUGCAAUGGAAAGCUUUAUAUGACAGACCUCUGUGUCUAGAGGACGCUAACAGGGAUGGCACAAGUUGAAUCUUGAAAAACAUGAUGGGUGUUGAACAGGUGGGCAGGGCAGGACGUCGAGGCCCAUUUUAGAUCCGUAGUGUAUUUAAUGUGGUGGGCAUCCCCUGGAGGAGGGCAUGGCAACCCACUUCAGUGUUCUUACCUGCAGACUCCCACGGACAGAAUAGCCAUAGAGUUGCAAAGAGUCAGAUAGGACCGAAGCGACUUAGCACGCAAGCAUGUAUUUGGGGGCAUAGGGGAAGAAUCAAGGGAAGAAAUCAUAUCACUUAAGCCGGAAGAAAUUUGAACUUUGUUCUCCAGGCUAUGGAGUGAGGUAGAAGGGUAUUUUUCUCUAAUCAAGUUGAAGUAUAUUUUAUGUAUAGUAAAACAUCAGUUGUAAAGCUUCCCUGACGGCUCAGUGGUAAAGACUCCGCCUGCCAAUGCAGAAGCUUCUAUCCCUGGUCCCGGGAAGAUCUCACAUGUCGCUGAGCCACUAAGCCCAUGAGCCACAACUACUGAGACUGCGCCCUAGAGCCUGUGCACUGAAACAAGAGAGGCCCCCACAAUUAGAAGCCCCAAGCACCACAGCAAAACGGAGUAAUCCCCCGCUUGCCAGAACUUGAGAAAGCCGUCGCAGAGCAAGGAAGACUCAGUACAGACAAAAAUAAAUAAAUACAAUUAUAGAAAAUAAAUUAUACUAAACAGAUCGGCCCUGGACUUUGCUCUCCAUUGUUCAGCAAGUGGAGAGCCGGCAGAUAUUAAUCACAACAGGACGUGGUCUCAUGAAUUCAGUGCAGCACAGUUAGAGUGAAACAAACCUGGUAAGAGAAGCCAACAGAGAAACCGGUUUGCCCAGGAGCUGGAUCCAGCGUGGGGAGGAAAGGAAACCCGAGAAUGUCCCCACGGGCCGGGCUGCUUUGGCCAGGUGUCCAGCGGAGGGCAGUGGUGAGCAGACAGUCCUGCAGAGACGGAUCCCUGAGAGCCGACUUCAGCCUUUUCAAGAUCCCAACGGAGUGCAUAACCCUGCCUUAGCUGAGACAGGCAACAGUGACUAUGGCUGGGAGAAAAAGACACAGAAGAAAGUUGUCCUCCAGGAUCAAGGCUAAGCUGCCUCAAUUUUAGGGGAAAAGGCUGGUCCCUGACCAGUCCAGGACUUCCUGUCACCUCUUGCCUAACACAUCCGUCUGGCUGUGAAGUGAUUUUCUGCAUCCUAUGCUAUGGUAACCGGAUCCAUACGGACCCCAGGACCAGACAUCUUAGAACCUUGACUCCAAAGAUAACCUUUAGAUGGAGUUACCCAAUUCUGGCUCCUCUAAGAAGAGAUGCCGUGGGACCUAUUGCAAAGGGCUUUGUCGAAGGCUUUUGUUUCUGGGCAGAACUGACUCAUCAUUUCCCCCAGAUAAGUUUGCUCUCUGGGAGGUUUCCAGGCCCCCAUCCCUCCAGUUGGCCGUUUCUCCAGACCAGAUGGUUCAUUUUAGAUCUCAAUUUGCAACGUGCUACCCUUUGUGGGCACAUGUUCUGGAUUCAUCCCAAACGGAGCAGCUGAUUCACUCGGACGUUCUGGGAAGCCCUCCCCGUUUGAUUCCACCUCAGCACAUCAGCAUAGAAGCUGCGAGUCAGAUUUCCAGUUUGUUGUGGGGAGCCUAUUGAUUCUAAGCCCAGAAGUGCAGUCCUGGGAGACUGACGUCAGAUCUCAGGCAGAGGGCCUGGGCGCCCCCAGAGGGUCUUAGGGUGCUGGUGCUGCUGCCUUUGGGAGGGCUGCUCCCUCAAGUCCGUCAGAGGUGGACUCUGGUGGGAUCAUGACCCGUUCUGGGGCCAUUUAAUAUUUUGAAUAAAAGCAGAGGAAAGAAUUCAUGACCAAUUUGAGCUCCGAGAUUUUAAGUUUAAACCGGAUGGCCUUUCUCUAGCUUCUCUCCUUGCCAGUUACCCACUGCUUGUUCAGUAGACAGUUGUUGAUCACGUACUGUGCAUCAGACGUUGUGCUUAGGGCUCGGGGAUAAGAGUAAAAAGCCGAUGCUUGCCUUCAAGGGGCUCAGUGACUAACGUCUGAGAUAGGCGGGCACGGAGAACAAAGUGAGCGGAGCUGACGUAACGCAGUGGUCAAGAGCUGAGAUUCAGGAGCCAGACCCCCCAGAUUCCUGCUCUGCCACUUUGCAAGUAUGUGACUUUGGACACAUUACUUCACCCGUUUGUGCACCAGUUUUCUCAUCAGUAGAAUGAGAAUAAUAAUGAUACCCACUUUAGUGUUUUAUGAGGAUAAAUUCGUUGCUAGAUUUAAAGUGCUUAGAACUGUGCCAGGGGUAGUGAGGGUGGUACAUAUCUGAGAUAGUUUAAAGCUGGAGCAUCAAGAGGGUUAAUUGGAUGAAGGAUUUAAGAAAAAGGAAGGGGUCAGGUUUAUAUCCCAGGAGUCUGGAAUAUGAACAUGUGUGGCCAGGAAAGUUCUUUUGAGUCUAGGGACCACUACCAUAUAAAUAUUUUUUUUCCUUUUGUUUUCAAAUUUGUUUAUUCUUUAAUUGAAGGUUAAUUGCUUUACAGAA